GGGUUGUGAGGUUAAGCGACUAAGCGUACACGGUGGAUGCCCUGGCAGUCAGAGGCGAUGAAGGACGUGCUAAUCUGCGAUAAGCGUCGGUAAGGUGAUAUGAACCGUUAUAACCGGCGAUUUCCGAAUGGGGAAACCCAGUGUGUUUCGACACACUAUCAUUAACUGAAUCCAUAGGUUAAUGAGGCGAACCGGGGGAACUGAAACAUCUAAGUACCCCGAGGAAAAGAAAUCAACCGAGAUUCCCCCAGUAGCGGCGAGCGAACGGGGAGCAGCCCAGAGCCUGAAUCAGUGUGUGUGUUAGUGGAAGCGUCUGGAAAGGCGCGCGAUACAGGGUGACAGCCCCGUACACAAAAAUGCACAUGCUGUGAGCUCGAUGAGUAGGGCGGGACACGUGGUAUCCUGUCUGAAUAUGGGGGGACCAUCCUCCAAGGCUAAAUACUCCUGACUGACCGAUAGUGAACCAGUACCGUGAGGGAAAGGCGAAAAGAACCCCGGCGAGGGGAGUGAAAAAGAACCUGAAACCGUGUACGUACAAGCAGUGGGAGCACGCUUAGGCGUGUGACUGCGUACCUUUUGUAUAAUGGGUCAGCGACUUAUAUUCUGUAGCAAGGUUAACCGAAUAGGGGAGCCGAAGGGAAACCGAGUCUUAACUGGGCGUUAAGUUGCAGGGUAUAGACCCGAAACCCGGUGAUCUAGCCAUGGGCAGGUUGAAGGUUGGGUAACACUAACUGGAGGACCGAACCGACUAAUGUUGAAAAAUUAGCGGAUGACUUGUGGCUGGGGGUGAAAGGCCAAUCAAACCGGGAGAUAGCUGGUUCUCCCCGAAAGCUAUUUAGGUAGCGCCUCGUGAAUUCAUCUCCGGGGGUAGAGCACUGUUUCGGCAAGGGGGUCAUCCCGACUUACCAACCCGAUGCAAACUGCGAAUACCGGAGAAUGUUAUCACGGGAGACACACGGCGGGUGCUAACGUCCGUCGUGAAGAGGGAAACAACCCAGACCGCCAGCUAAGGUCCCAAAGUCAUGGUUAAGUGGGAAACGAUGUGGGAAGGCCCAGACAGCCAGGAUGUUGGCUUAGAAGCAGCCAUCAUUUAAAGAAAGCGUAAUAGCUCACUGGUCGAGUCGGCCUGCGCGGAAGAUGUAACGGGGCUAAACCAUGCACCGAAGCUGCGGCAGCGACGCUUAUGCGUUGUUGGGUAGGGGAGCGUUCUGUAAGCCUGUGAAGGUGUACUGUGAGGUAUGCUGGAGGUAUCAGAAGUGCGAAUGCUGACAUAAGUAACGAUAAAGCGGGUGAAAAGCCCGCUCGCCGGAAGACCAAGGGUUCCUGUCCAACGUUAAUCGGGGCAGGGUGAGUCGACCCCUAAGGCGAGGCCGAAAGGCGUAGUCGAUGGGAAACAGGUUAAUAUUCCUGUACUUGGUGUUACUGCGAAGGGGGGACGGAGAAGGCUAUGUUGGCCGGGCGACGGUUGUCCCGGUUUAAGCGUGUAGGCUGGUUUUCCAGGCAAAUCCGGAAAAUCAAGGCUGAGGCGUGAUGACGAGGCACUACGGUGCUGAAGCAACAAAUGCCCUGCUUCCAGGAAAAGCCUCUAAGCAUCAGGUAACAUCAAAUCGUACCCCAAACCGACACAGGUGGUCAGGUAGAGAAUACCAAGGCGCUUGAGAGAACUCGGGUGAAGGAACUAGGCAAAAUGGUGCCGUAACUUCGGGAGAAGGCACGCUGAUAUGUAGGUGAAGUCCCUCGCGGAUGGAGCUGAAAUCAGUCGAAGAUACCAGCUGGCUGCAACUGUUUAUUAAAAACACAGCACUGUGCAAACACGAAAGUGGACGUAUACGGUGUGACGCCUGCCCGGUGCCGGAAGGUUAAUUGAUGGGGUCAGCGCAAGCGAAGCUCUUGAUCGAAGCCCCGGUAAACGGCGGCCGUAACUAUAACGGUCCUAAGGUAGCGAAAUUCCUUGUCGGGUAAGUUCCGACCUGCACGAAUGGCGUAAUGAUGGCCAGGCUGUCUCCACCCGAGACUCAGUGAAAUUGAACUCGCUGUGAAGAUGCAGUGUACCCGCGGCAAGACGGAAAGACCCCGUGAACCUUUACUAUAGCUUGACACUGAACAUUGAGCCUUGAUGUGUAGGAUAGGUGGGAGGCUUGGAAGUGUGGACGCCAGUCUGCAUGGAGCCGACCUUGAAAUACCACCCUUUAAUGUUUGAUGUUCUAACGUGGACCCGUGAUCCGGGUUGCGGACAGUGUCUGGUGGGUAGUUUGACUGGGGCGGUCUCCUCCUAAAGAGUAACGGAGGAGCACGAAGGUUGGCUAAUCCUGGUCGGACAUCAGGAGGUUAGUGCAAUGGCAUAAGCCAGCUUGACUGCGAGCGUGACGGCGCGAGCAGGUGCGAAAGCAGGUCAUAGUGAUCCGGUGGUUCUGAAUGGAAGGGCCAUCGCUCAACGGAUAAAAGGUACUCCGGGGAUAACAGGCUGAUACCGCCCAAGAGUUCAUAUCGACGGCGGUGUUUGGCACCUCGAUGUCGGCUCAUCACAUCCUGGGGCUGAAGUAGGUCCCAAGGGUAUGGCUGUUCGCCAUUUAAAGUGGUACGCGAGCUGGGUUUAGAACGUCGUGAGACAGUUCGGUCCCUAUCUGCCGUGGGCGCUGGAGAACUGAGGGGGGCUGCUCCUAGUACGAGAGGACCGGAGUGGACGCAUCACUGGUGUUCGGGUUGUCAUGCCAAUGGCACUGCCCGGUAGCUAAAUGCGGAAGAGAUAAGUGCUGAAAGCAUCUAAGCACGAAACUUGCCCCGAGAUGAGUUCUCCCUGACUCCUUGAGAGUCCUGAAGGAACGUUGAAGACGACGACGUUGAUAGGCCGGGUGUGUAAGCGCAGCGAUGCGUUGAGCUAACCGGUACUAAUGAACCGUGAGGCUUAACCUUACAACGCCGAAGGUGUUU
rnacentral:rRNA from 1 species